GGUUACCAAAGUGACCAGCGAUAGAUAAAGGCUGAAGAACAUAUCUAACCUCCCUUAUCUCGUCCCAUCAACAUUACGGCAGAACAUUAUGCACCGUAAGUAAUACGUCUCCCCUGACAGCCGUGCCGUGAAGGUCAUCUGCAGAAGGCUCAUGUACAAAUCCUGCCACAUAAGUGAUUGCAUAAGGUGAAAGGUCUAGAUUAAGCCUGCACCCACCCUCCACAAUCCGGCUCUAGAAAAAUGCACUAACAAAGGCUUCUCUGUGCUUCAGCCCUGACAAAUAAUAAAGCACAGUCUUAGCGGCUAAAGCUGGAUUGUACAUUCUGCUGCUUUACAAUGAGAUGCAAACCUUCUGUCUGAUGCGGCU